rnacentral:rRNA from 2 species
ARAGUUUGAUCCUGGCUCARAACGAACGCYGGCGGCGUGCUUAACACAUGCAAGUCGAACGUGAUUGGAAGCUUGCUUCCAUGAAAGUGGCGCACGGGUGAKUAACGCGUGGAUAACCUGCCCUGGUAUCCGGAAUAACAUCUCGAAAGGGGUGCUAAUACCGGAUAAGCCUACGGAGCCCUCGGUCUCUGCAGGAAAAGGKGGCCUCUAUUUAUAAGCUACCGUAUCAGGAUGGGUCCGCGUACCAUUAGCUAGUUGGUGGGGUAAUGGCCUACCAAGGCGACGAUGGUUAGCUGGUCUGAGAGGAUGAUCAGCCACACUGGAACUGARACACGGUCCAGACUCCUACGGGAGGCAGCAGUGGGGAAUUUUGCGCAAUGGGGGAAACCCUGACGCAGCAACGCCGCGUGAGUGAUGAARGCUUUCGGGUCGUAAAGCUCUGUCAGAGGGGAAGAAAUGGAAACGGUUAAUACCCGUUUUCCUUGACGGUACCCUCAAAGGAAGCACCGGCUAAYUCCGUGCCAGCAGCCGCGGUAAUAC